rnacentral:rRNA from 1 species
UGCUAUCGGGGUGAGGCUAAGCCAUGCAAGUCUCAGGCCCCCGGCCUCUGGGGGCCUGGCGGACGGCUCGGUAACACGUGGUCAACCUGCCCUACGGAGGUGGAUAACCUCGGGAAACUGAGGCUAAACCGCCAUAGGUGAGCGGCUCUGGAAUGACCGCUCGCCGAAAGUCUCCGCCGGGGAUGCCUAGCGGGGAGCCGUAGGAUGGGACUGCGGCCUAUCAGGUUGUUGGUGGGGUAACGGCCCACCAAGCCUUAGACGGGUACGGGCCCUGAGAGGGGGAGCCCGGAGAUGGACUCUGAGACAAGAGUCCAGGCCCUACGGGGCGCAGCAGGCGCGAAAACUCCGCAAUGGGCGAAAGCCCGACGGGGUUACCCCGAGUGCCAUCCUCGUGGUGGCUUUUGCCCGCUGUAAAAAGGCGGGCGAAUAAGGGGAGGGUAAGUCGGGUGUCAGCCGCCGCGGUAAUACCCGCUCCCCGAGUGGUGGAGGCUUUUACUGAGCUUAAAGCGCCCGUAGCCGGCCCGGUGUGUCCCUCGUUAAAUCCACCGGCCUAACCGGUGGGCCGCGGGGGAUACUGCCGGGCUUGGGGGUGGGAGAGGCGCUCGGUAUUCUCGGGGUAGGGGUAAAAUCCACUGAUCCCGAGAGGACCACCAGUGGCGAAGGCGGAGCGCCAGAACACGCCCGACGGUGAGGGGCGAAAGCUGGGGGAGCAAACGGGAUUAGAUACCCCGGUAGUCCCAGCCGUAAACGAUGCAGGCUAGGUGUCGGGGCGGCUACGAGCCGUCUCGGUGUCGAAGGGAAACCAUUAAGCCUGCCGCUUGGGGAGUACGGCCGCAAGGCUGAAACUUAAAGGAAUUGGCGGGGGAGCACCACAAGGGGUGGACGUUGCGGCUUAAUUGGAUUCAACGCCGGGA